rnacentral:lncRNA from 1 species
GACGACGCGAGGAUUGACUUUCCUCAAAGCGGGCCGAGCAUCUGGGCUCGGGAAGACGGCUGAAACGGGCCACAAGCGGGCUGCAAUACCCAUUUUUCUGCUCAUCGAUGGCUGCUGGUUGGGGGCAGAUCCGGCGCCGGUUCGGGCGCGAAAUCGGUGAAGGAGGACGGCGGAUGCUCGAAUGGUUGCUAGCGGUGGCUCCGGCGGCUUUCCGGCGGUCUUGGUGAUGGCGGACAGCUCGGAACGACGAAGGAUGAUGGCUGGGAUGCACGGACGAAGGGGAGAUGGCACGACGGUGGAACGGCGAACGCACACGCGAGGCUUCGCGUGCGAACGGGUGGCAACGGCGAUGGCUCCGGCGACGACGGCGUGCGAGCGAGCGGAGGGGGCGUGCGUGCGGGCUAGGCGAGCUGCUGGUUUUCGUUCACCCCUCUCUCUCUCCUCUUUU